AACAUCCACCGCUCCUCCGUCAAACGGAUCGGAAACUUGGAAAAAGGGGGGGGGGAAAUCGAAACGGCGGCGGUGUGUUGUUACAUCAGUGGGGGAUAGUGACGAAGAGUGAGUAUAAUGGAGGAAAGGAAAGCAAAAGGAGAAGGUGAAACGCUAUAUGUAGAAGGGGAAGGGGGUUCUGGGUAAUUGGGGGAGAGUAAAGAAUUACAAAAAAGGAGAACCGAGCUUUUCGGUGGUGGUUAGGUGGAGUUGGGUGGUGAUAUGGUGGUUGCAGGUGGUGGU
rnacentral:lncRNA from 1 species